GAAAACAUAGAUCCAAGGUAUUUAGGGUUGCAUGUACACUUAGGAAGUGUUAGAAUGCUCAAAACCCAACAGUGGUAUCAGAGCCACGGGUUGUUUUCUGUUAUAUUGAUGCAAAUAUUUUAUUUUCAAAGUUGAAAAAAAAAAAAAAAAAAAACAUGAAGUUUGUCAAAUUUUAAGAUAAUUACUUGUUCUUGUGAAAAACUAAUUAUUUGUAAAAUUUGAAUAAUUUGCUUUAUGAGUUGAAUUAGGUCAAAUUUAAUAAAAGAUAAAAUAAUAUGAUUAUUUUAUUAGUUUUAAAAGUUUGAUCUAAAGAGUUUUAUUUUUUGAAACCUCCAUAAGUUAUGGAUAUGAAAAGGUUUUAAAAAAAAAAUUGAUUCAAAGUUUUUUUGGAGUUACAAAAUUUGGUGUUAAUGUUUUAAAGGAUUCCAUAACUUAAGAAUAAGUUAUGGAUCACCAAAAGUUUUUUGUGUUACCUUGUUUUAUGAGUGAAUUUAGAUUAAUGAAUAAAAUUAUGUGAUAGUUGGUUUUAAUCCAAAUUAAUCUAAGAAUUGAUUCUAAAAUGUGUUUUUGUAACUUGUCCUCAAGUUAUAUGAAAAGUCACAUUUAAGAAUCAUAAAACUCAUAAAAAUUGGCAAAGGUUACAAAAAUGAAGAGUCUAGUUCUAAUUAAAUGGUUUUAUGACUCCAUAACUUGUCCUCAAGUUAUGGAGGACCAAGAGUCUCUUCAUUUAAUAAAAUAAAAUAAAAAAAAAAAAAGUGUAACCUUAAUUAAUUCCAUAAGUUAUAAAAUAAAGAAAAGUUAAUUCUUUUAUUAGUUUAAAGUCUUCCAUAACUUGUCCUCAAGUUAUGGAACUUGAAGAGUUUUUGGAUUAAAACUACUUUAAACACAUAAGUUAUGGAAUUAAUUAGUUUUGAAUAGUUUCAAAACUUGCCCUCAAGUUUUGGAAUUUGUAAAGUUUUCACUUAUGAAUACUUUAAUUCCAAGUUAGCCCUUAGAAUUUUAAAAGUUAAAAUUCAACCCUUAUACUUUAUAAUAUUAUAAGUUAAUAAUAUAUAUAUGUAUAAGAGUAAAGUCAGUCUUACCGCUAGUACGCCUCAUUCACGAAGCCGGUCUAUAAGGUGGGUAUAAGGUUGUUGCCUAUAAAAUGGCAACUUAAUGGGUGUCCACUCUCACCCACCGCUUGCUUGACUGGUGGAGGGUCGUUAGCCGAACGGGUUUGACAGGACUAGAAUUCUCCCUUCAUUAAAAGUAUUAAUGAUAAUACUAAGUAACUAAACUCUUAAUAAUACCCAAUCUUAGUUACUUAGGAAAAAUGUGAAUAAGGUGCUAAUCCAUGAAAUUACACUUUACACUUUGUCUAAGUCGUUAGUGGAGCGUGUGUGGUUAACCGGCACACUAACUUGGACUUAACAAGGUAGGUAAAGGGUGACUUAAUAUUUAUCAUAGUAUCGAUGGAGCGUGUGUGGUUAACCGGCACAUCGAUUGAGGGGUAAUUUAUUAAGGGUACCAAGUGAUUUGCAUGGUUACUUCACACCUUGUUUUGUGAUCCUCGGCAUCCCAGUCACAAAACCUGAAGGGCACACUCGAGAUUGAAACAUGCCUUUGAACAGUUCAAUGAAUCUCAAAGAUCUAGGAGUUUCAAAACCAAUUAAAACCUAAUAAUACAUUUCGUUUAUCUUGGUGGAAAUUGGUGAAUCGUCAUUCACCUACCUUCAAAUAUUUUAUAGCUUGGAUUACGGCAUACCUCUUCUAAGUUAUAAAAUAGUUUGUUGGGUCCUAGCCUUAAUAUUUCAUAUUGGGUGUCAUAUUAAGGACUUUAAAUCAACUAUCUUGAAUAUCUCCCAAAAGAUGUCUGUAAUAGACACCUAUGAUCUUCCCAAAUCUAGUGAAACAAGGUUUCCUAAAUGAAGAUGAUGUCCUUUGGAAAUCAUACUUCUUUCACCUCCUCCAAUUAUUCUCCCUAACCCACAAGUUCUUGAAAAGUUUAAGGUCACUCAAGCCCUAUUGGCAAGGCAAGGUCUAGGUGUGAUCACAUCUUGGAGAUGUAGUCACAUAUUGACAAGCCGGGAGAGUUGGGUGUCAAAGUCUUGAGAAAGUUGGUGGUUCAAUCACUUUCUAAGUCACAUAGUGAGUUCCUUUGGGACACCUAUGAAACAGACUAUGACAAGACCCUUAAUGAUCUUAUCUAUUUGCUAAGAUCAACUUCCUAAAACUUUAUGGACAUUGACAAUGAUGACAUUGGAUAUCCAGUAAAGCAUUCUCUUCCCAAUGGAAAGGGAUCGGCCAUAGUCAACUCGGUUGACCAAAUGGUAAAGAGAAAAGCUAAGUCUGUGAUAGUCUCGUGUACCAUUAUCAAAGGGUCCAUAUGUUUAUAUUGCCAAAGGAAGGGGCAUUGGUUGCGAAGCUGCCAAAUUUACCUAAGGAUGUUAAAGUCAAUAAGUUUGACUCUACUUCAGGUAAAGUCCACUAUCUAACUCUGUUAAGUUUCUAUUCUGAGAUUCCUGAUACAUGAUGUGACUGGGUCACAUGGUGAUGUUUUAAGAAUCAAAGAAAAGUGAAGAAACUUAAAGAAAGAAUAUGCUGAAUCUGAUGGCGUAGAUGGAUUUCUAUCGCAUAGUUUGAAGAUCGGAUUCUUGAGCAACUUCUUAGGAGUUAUGAGAUAUUGCUUAGGAAUAGAUAACAACAAGUUUUCAUAUGGAUUGUAAGGAUAAGUUUUUCCGCAAAGUUUUAAAAUAAAAGAAAAAUUUUUUGAUUUUAUUUAUUUUAAAAUAUCCUUACAAUGGCUUUUGAGGAAAAAUUGUUGCUUAUAUGAUUCCAUUAAGAGCAAGAGUGGAAAUAUGAAAUUGAUUCUUUCAUUUGUGGUAAUGUCUAGAUUUACCAAAUAAGGAAAGAUUCUCAUCACCCAAGUUUCAAUUGGACCGGAACUUGGAAUCAUGCAAGUUGUAUAGCAUGAUGAAUGAGAACUUUCAAGUUUUGGAAAAUUAAGACUAAUUACUCGGCCACAUGGAUGUGUGAGUCAAGUAAAGGACUAAGGGAUCGAGUACACAUUCUUGUGCACUGAUUAAGUCCACCACAAAAGAUUGAUAAGACUAUUCGUCAUAGUUUACUAAAGCUCAGUAAAUAUGAUUAUACUUACAAGCUUAAGUGUAACUCUGAGACAUUGGAAAAGGUUCCAAUGUAUGGCAGAGCGAAUAAGAAGAAUCAAAUUAGGCAGAAGGAUAAAAGUUUCUCAAAUCUGAAAAGAUGGGAGAGUACUUUAGUAUCAGUUUUGUGAUCAUCUUAAUGAUUAAGAAACCAUAUCAAAAUUAGUUCUCUAAGGAAAUCUUAGUGCAUUCUUAUGACUAAGAAGAGGAACUUGAAUUGUUGAAAUGGUUAAAUCAAGAAGAUGAGUCAUACUUCGUUCCAAUACAAGUCUUAGAGUCAUACUCCAAGAUUGUCAUUUGAGUGACAUGUCUUAAAGAAGGUUUAAAACACUUGUCAAAUGUAAGAGUAAAAGUUUUCUACUCUUGUACAUUUGAAAUUGGUAAGUUGUGAUGUUUUGGAUAAAACAAAGACCAACUUAGGCCAAUUGGGUAAAGUGUUUUUCUUGAUUAGAAUCCGCACUAUCUCUUGGAUGUUUGACAAGGGAGUCUUAUAUGUCAAGAGGACAGUGGGAGUCUUAAAGGUCUUGAAAGUCUCAAGAACUAAUCAAGAAUAAAACCUGAAGUUCUUCACUAGCACACGACUUGAGGUUUAUAACCUAUCGUGUUGACAUAUUCUGUGCCCAUUCCAGUUAAAGUUGGCUUUGCAUAUGAGUUCUUAGAGUUCUCAAUUUGUUGCACAACAACUUGGAAGCAAUGGCAGGCCCUUGAGCUGCCAGGUGGCAAGAAAUUAAGAUUGAGUUCAGUCCAUAUGAGUUUGGAUUUGUCAUUAUCCUUGUCUUGUGACUAUGGUUUUGACAAUUCACAUGGAUAAGAACACAUACACCAUUAAAUCUAAGUGUCAUAAGGUUUCUCUCCGAUUCAUGAAAAUGAUGGUGAGGAAACACUUUCACUAAGUAGAUUUUAGCUAGAUAGCAAUUGUGAUAUUUGCAUUCUCAAAGUCGUUAGUGGAGCGUGUGUGGUUUACCGGCACACUAACCUGGACUUGUGAGAAGUGGCAAAAAGGUCUAACCAUUAUGAUUACGGCAUCCCUCUUCAUAAUUGUUUAGACACACAAGUGUGCUAUCUAAGGGAAGGUGUAUGAUUUUGAUAAAGUUUUAUCAAAACAAUCUAGUAUCAGAAAUCUGAACUUUGGUAAGAAAGUCAAUGAAGUAUUGAUUUCUAGAAGUCCAGCUGAUUUCUGAGUACAUGUCAAAGCUAGUGGGAGCAUAAGUGUUAUGCUAAUAAUCAUCAUGUUAGUGGGAGCAUGAUAAUUAUGAUAAGUAUUGCAAGUUAGCAAUGUUAAUUAUAGAAAACAAAAGUUUCAAUUGGGAAAAAGUUGUUUUGCUAUAAUUAAGGGAGAGGAAAUUAUACUUCAUCUCAAAUCUAUAAGCUUAGAUCGUGAGGUUUUAAUCAUUUAGUCAAGGAUAUAUAUGAAUUUCAUGUUGGAAUGGCUCAACAUAAGGAAAUUCUGUAUAUGGGUCCAUUAUUUGCGUUCUAAAAUUCGAUUAUGAUUACGGCAUCCCUUUUCAUAAUCUGAAUUAUGAGAACUUGGCAAAUUGAAAUGGAAAUAUUAUAGCAAAAGACUGGUUUAGUCUUUAUGUGAGACAUCAUGAAUCGUGUCCCAUAUGCUUCGGAUAUAGGAUCGAUUACAUGUGCUAUAUUCAUCCGUUCUAAAAUUUUCCAAAUGCCUGGGGCAUUAAGAAGGGAAAAGGUUUAGAACUGGAUAUGACUAAAAGGAUUAAACAAUUGUCGAGGACAAUCUAAGGUUUACCAAAGAUUGGUUGCUCAAGGACAGUUGGAAGUAUAGUGAUAAUUCUGGAAGGACCAUAUUGACAUAAUCUGUAAGGAGGCAACUCUUGUUCAGAAGUGAUAGUCAAAAUGGAAUCUGGAAAUGUUUCAAAGUUAGAAUUUUCAAUCUGUUUAAGAUUAGGAAACUUAAUGCAAGAAGGAUGUUUCCAAGGAGCUGAUCUCCUUUGGAAUACUCUGUAAUGAUUGUUGUCAAGUCUUUCUGACUUUGUGCAUAAUCAUUACAAGAGGAUCAAUGCAUAUAAGUUUAGAAUCUAACAGAUUUCAGUAAAUGGCAUGAAUUUGGAAUUCUUGCAUUUGCAGUAAGGAUUUGGGAGUGUGAAAAGAGAAUCAUUGAAGUUAUGUUCAAUUGAUCUAGUUCACAAAGUAAAGAUCAUAGACAAACAUAGUAUGCAUACUUGGUGUGUGGCAUGACUAGUGUUUAAGAAAACAUAGUGUACAUGCUUGGAGCAUGGGACAACUAUUGUUUUAAAUUCAAGAAUAAAGUUGAUAGCUGAAACAGUAUACAAUGAAUAAUGUGUAAUCAUAUGGUGAUAAAUAAAAGGUGUUUUAUUUAUGUUCAUAGGUUUUGAUACCAUAUUGGAUUCAAUUAUUAUUGUGUUUCACUUUGCAUGUUUUGACUUCCCGAAUAAACUAGGUUAUUCUUCCGGAAUGACUAAGUUAUUCAAACCAUCCACAGUCGGUCAUAUGUUGGAAGUAGAUAUGAAUUAAGACUGUCAUGGGUUGGCUUGUAGAGGUCUAAGGUGUUGGACAAAGGGCUACAACACUCAUGAGUGCUCAUAAGUUCUGAGUAUUGGAUUCAACCCGCGCUCAUUGGAAUCACUUCAUGGAUUUUAUCACGAGUGAUCAUGAGACGAUAAUAUCUUAUAUUCUUCAAACCUAGAGAUAUGAGUUGUUACUAUGAGUUGGUUGUACAUUGAUUGCACGAAAACGCAUUUGGUAACUCGGUGCUAUAAAACGUGCCUUUGUGUAUGAUUCAACAAGUAGUAGAACAAGCCAUAUGAGUCGAAGUUUAUCCAUUCCUUUUACCUUCGGGAUAAAAGCGAUAUCUGUGGGCCCCUCGAUGAUUUGAUGAUGACAAAUGGAAGUGCUCGGCCGGGCCAGGACUGAUUUGAUUUGUUCAAUUAGUCAGUCGUCAUAAAUCGGAAAUCGGGAAACAACAAAUGGACAGAGAGAAUGAUUAUAAUCCAUGUCUCAGUCCAUAUGAUAUCUAGAAUGGAGGAAUAUAUGAUCCCUUAUCUAAUGGACAAGUCAUUGACAAAGGUCAGAGUUCAUCGACAAGGUCAGAGUUCGACAGAAGCUUUUGAGAGCUACGAUUGCCAGUUGGUUCCUGAAGUCAUACGCAAUAAUAGUUUUAGACUUAUCCAAGUGGGAGACUGUUGGAUUAAUGUCUAAGUCCAUAACUAUAAUUGGUAAGACUUGACCCGACCCGGCAUGGUCCAUUUGGGUUGCAUGGCAUCAUGCAUUUGGAUAGACUAAAAUGAGAGAAAUAACACUUAAGGUUUGUUAAUAUAUUAUAAGUUCUAAUAUAUUAAUAAGGUUAUUUAAUUAGUAUUGAUCAAGAAUUAAUUUGGAAUUAAUUAAGUGAUCAAAAGGAGACUAAUUAAAUAUAUGGGUUGAUUGUGUAAAUCAUUCAUUCUUAUAUAUGUGGGCUUGUGAUCCAAGAUUCCUUAUGUUGGACUAAGUCCAUGGGGUGACCCAUGGAUGCUCCAUGGAGGUUAAAAUCCAUGGAGCAUAAGGAAUGGGUAAAGUCAUGAGUUACAUGGUGUAACCCUAAUAGCCACCAUAUAAAAGAAUCCCAUGGCUCAAGAAAUCGUGCACUAUGUGUGAGUGUGAGGGCUAGACGAUUUCAAGGAGUGUUCAGAUUUCUCUCAAGUUAUUCCAAGUGUAUUUGGUGUUGUGUGAACCAUUUGAGGUGUCACACUUGGGGCACUAGGCACUCAAGCUUCAUGAGGACAUUCUACAUCAAAGAGGUAUGUAUUCUAUCUUGUUAUAUUCAUUGUUUUGUAUGCUAGAUUAGGAUAAUACCUUGGAUGUUCAUAUUUGCAUGUAUAAUAGAGAAAACAUAGAUCCAAGGUAUUUAGGGUUGCAUGUACACUUAGGAGUGUUAGAAUGCUCAAAACCCAACAGUGGUAUCAGAGCCUAGGCUUGUUUUCAAUUAUACUUGAUGCAAAUUGCUGAAAAAUGCUGAAAAAGUCGAAUUUCGGGCAUUCUGGGCACUGGACUCGCCGAGUCCACUGAUGAACUCGCCGAGUCCAUGAGUAAAAUCAUCCUACUCGUCGAGUAGGUUCAUGCACUCGACGAGUAGGAGCCCCAGACAGCAUAUAUUCGACUUUUUUGGCUAGAAAUGGACUAGGAACAUUACCCUAAGCUGUUUUUGGACUUAUAAACUUAUUUUUGAUGUGGUAAUGUUCAUACUAAUCCAAUUUCAAAGAUAAUUGUCAAUAGAUUCAUGUUUUGUAUUAGUUUAAGUGUUAUGCUAAUUACAUGAAAAAGUUUGAUUCCAAUUAUCAUGUUCAUAUGAGUUGCUUAGAUUAAUAGAAAAGUUGUGUGAAAUAGUUGUUUUCAAUCCAUUUUAAUCUAAGAGUUGAUUCCAAAGUGUGUUUUUGUAACUUGUCCUCAAGUUAUAUGAAAAGUCACAUUUAAGAAUCAUAAAACUCAUAAAAGUUGGCAAAGGUUACAAAAUGAAGAGUCUAGUUCUAAUUAAAUGGUUUUAUGACUCCAUAACUUGUCCUCAAGUUAUGGAGGACCAAG
rnacentral:lncRNA from 1 species